rnacentral:rRNA from 1 species
CUGGCUUGAUUCAUUUUGCCGGCCACGGUUUCGUGUGUUAGUGCUUGAUGUUCUGGCCAUCCUUCCAAUCGCUUCGCGGUAUUCUUCAUUGAAUGCCGCGGGGUAUUGGAUCUUUUACUUUGAAAAAAUUAGAGUGUUUCAAGCAGGCUUUAUGCUAUGAAUACAUUAGCAUGGAAUAAUAAUUUAGGACUUCGGUUCUAUUUUGUUGGUUUCUAGGACUGAAGUAAUGAUUGAUAGGGACAGUUGGGGGUGCUAGUAUUCAGCGGCCAGAGGUGAAAUUCUCGGAUUCGCUGAAGACUAACUUAUGCGAAAGCAUUC